GAUGAAGAACGCAGCAAAAUGCGAUAAGUAAUGUGAAUUGCAGAAUUCAGUGAAUCAUCGAAUCUUUGAACGCACAUUGCGCCCGCUGGUAUUCCGGCGGGCAUGCCUGUCCGAGCGUCAUUGCUGCCCUCAAGCACGGCUUGUGUGUUGGGCCUCCGUCCUCCUCCCGGGGGACGGGCCCGAAAGGCAGCGGCGGCACCGCGUCCGGUCCUCGAGCGUAUGGGGCUUCGUCACCCGCUCUUGUAGGCCCGGCCGGCGCUUGCCGACACAUCAAUCUUUUUUCCAGGUUGACCUCGGAUCAGGUAGGGAUACCCGCUGAACUUAAGCAUAUCAAUAAGCGGAGGA
rnacentral:misc_RNA from 1 species